CCCCUGCCUUACUCAGAAAGUACCAACACAAAAGAUAUACAGACCAUUAAAAAGAAAAUCAGAAUCAUACAAAUCAGCUUUGUACAAAGAUUUCAAACCAAACAUUUAAAAAAAACACAGUACCCUCUUAAUUUCACUACUUUGUCUUUUCCAGGUUGCAAAGGUGGCCAAUGUGUUCCAAAAAUAAAUUAUCAAAAUAUUAAUCAAAAAUAAAAAUAAAUCAAUUGCUCAAUUUUAACCUUUCGGUUUUACCAUUUGUGCAUGUGCCACAUUGAUGCACGAGCCAUUUUUGAAUUUUUUUUUAUAUCAACAGUUAAGCUUAAAAUCAAAUAUAUAAAAACAAAAUUCUUAAAAACACUCCAUUAACCCUCAAAAUUCAAAUUAACAAAGGAUUAAGACAUUGCCAAUAUGAUCAUCACAGCUCACCUGAGGAAUCCGCCAGCUCACGCGCUUCAACACAAGCGUGAAGCGUUAGUUUGUGUUGCUCUCGGAAUUCCCAAGACGAGAUGAUACAACUGACUGGAGGAGAAAGGGGCAGCUUACAGUACACGCAGACUGACUACAACAUAGUCUUUGGAAGUGACGGGCAAACACCAGAUGAAAGUCGAGGAAGAGAGAAACGAUCGAGGUCUGUGCGUUGCCCUCAUAUGAACGCGUGCAAUGUCUGUCAAAAAACCAGGGAUGUUUUUGAGAGAGCCCAGGCAGUAUCGUGUGCAGGCGCACGGGUGCAUGUGAACGUCCACCGAUCUAGCCGUAAAGGGUUUGCAUCAUGCAGGUACAUGCCCACAUACUAAACAAUAAAUACAAAUAAAUAGUACAGGUGCUUGACGGGGUGUGUGAAGGUCCUGAGAGUAGUGAUGAAGGGAGGCUGGGUUUCCAGUUGAAUGGCACGGGGCUCCUGAACGGGGGUCUAUAAUGACUGAGUUAGGGGUCAUACAUACGGGAAGGAUCAAAGAAAUAUUCCCGUCAGUGGAGACUUGUCAUUUAAGUGAAUAGCUCUGGCCAAACCCUGUGGAACCCCCUCCCCCGAGGUUUUGCCAGCUCUAUGUGCCCCUCCACAUACCCCACAUUCACGACAAAUAAAGGACACAAAAACAUACAUCUGUAAGAAAAAUAGUUUCUGUAGCGAAUAAGGUCAAGCUAGUUCGAAGAAAUAGUGUAUUUGUGUAGUAGUUUAGUGUAUUCCUGUGAAAGAGGAAAAAGGCCACACACGCGCACACACAGACGUUUAACAGACCCACCACCAGUUAGGUUUGACAUUAUUUAACUAGGUCUCACAGUUGUGUACACAUUGUUGAGUUUGAUUCUGCAGACUGUUAGCAAAAUGUGUAAAUAUUAACCCUUCAUUAAUAGCAUACAGACACUCAGCUAUGGUACCAUGACACAGUCGCUCAUAGAACACAGCUUCUACAGUGUUAAGGAGAUUAUUCUAGGUAUGCAUGGCAUUUGUUUAUGUAGCAGUCAUAAGUUUCACUUGAAUGGGUGUGUACAAACUGUUGACUGGUACUGUACAAUGAAUACUAAAAUAAAAAUGUCAGUAGGUACCCAAAACAAAAACCACUGAACAUAAUUGUACAUAGUAAAAAAAAAAGAAGGAAAAAAGGAUAAUUUUACUUUUAACAUUGAUCCAGUACUGUUGAGCUGAGAUGACACUGACUGAAAC
ensembl:lncRNA